AUUGAACGCUGGCGGCAUGCCUUACACAUGCAAGUCGAACGGCAGCGGGGGAGAAGCUUGCUUUUCCUGCCGGCGAGUGGCGAACGGGUGAGUAAUACAUCGGAACGUGCCCUGUAGUGGGGGAUAACUAGUCGAAAGAUUAGCUAAUACCGCAUACGACCUGAGGGUGAAAGUGGGGGACCGCAAGGCCUCAUGCUAUAGGAGCGGCCGAUGUCUGAUUAGCUAGUUGGUGGGGUAAAGGCCUACCAAGGCGACGAUCAGUAGCUGGUCUGGGAGGACGAUCAGCCACACUGGAACUGAGGCACGGCCCAGACUCCUACGGGAGGCAGCAGUGGGGAAUUUUGGACAAUGGGCGAAAGCCUGAUCCAGCAAUGCCGCGUGUGUGAAGAAGGCCUUCGGGUUGUAAAGCACUUUUGUCCGGAAAGAAAUGGCUCUGGUUAAUACCUGGGGUCGAUGACGGUACCGGAAGAAUAAGGACCGGCUAACUACGUGCCAGCCGCCGCCGUAA
rnacentral:rRNA from 1 species